rnacentral:rRNA from 1 species
GAUGAACGCUGGCUACAGGCUUAACACAUGCAAGUCGUGGGGAAACGGCAUUAUGUGCUUGCACAUUCUGGACGUCGACCGGCGCACGGGUGAGUAUCGCGUAUCCAACCUGCCCCUUACUUGGGGAUACCCCGUUGAAAGACGGCCUAAUACCCGAUGUGUUUCAUUGACGGCAUCCGAUAUGAAACAAAGGUUUUUCCGGUAAGGGAUGGGGAUGCGUCUGAUUAGCUAGUUGGCGGGGCAACGGCCCACCAAGGCGACGAUCAGUAGGGGUUCUGAGAGGAAGGUCCCCCACAUUGGAACUGAGACACGGUCCAAACUCCUACGGGAGGCAGCAGUGAGGAAUAUUGGUCAAUGGACGCAAGUCUGAACCAGCCAAGUAGCGUGCAGGAUGACGGCCCUAUGGGUUGUAAACUGCUUUUAUGUGGGAAUAAAUUGGCGCACGUGUGCGCCAUUGCAUGUACCUCAUGAAUAAGGACCGGCUAAUUCCGUGCCAGCAGCCGCGGUAAUACGGAAGGUCCGGGCGUUAUCCGGAUUUAUUGGGUUUAAAGGGAGUGUAGGCGGUCUGUUAAGCGUGUUGUGAAAUUUAGGUGCUCAACAUUUAACUUGCAGCGCGAACUGUCAGACUUGAGUACACGCAGCGCAGGCGGAAUUCAUGGUGUAGCGGUGAAAUGCUUAGAUAUCAUGAGGAACUCCGAUCGCGAAGGCAGCCUGCGGGAGUGUUACUGACGCUUAAGCUCGAAGGUGCGGGUAUCGAACAGG